CUAUACUUUUGUCUAUUGUUUCAAUCAUAGUGUUAGUAUAAGAUUUCUAAUAAUUAUUUACCAAAUCUCACUUUUACAGUCACCUAGCAGCAAACCAGUUUCCAUGGCUGGUACAAAAUAUUAAAACCAUCAAAAUAUUUAGACAUACCAUACAGAAUAUAUACAAAUAUGCUAUCGGGGGGGCCUCUGAAUGCCAAGGGACUGGUGAGGUGACUGAGAAUUGAAAAAGCAUUUGUGUAAAUGAGGGGCACCUAAAAACAAACAAGCUGUAUAACUCCACUUCGUGGCGGUCAGGGUGCCAGUUGAUCUCUGCAGAUUUGUUCAGAACUUGAAAAGUGGCCCUUCUUAGGUUGGCCCAUAGUUUUGGCUGGGUGGGGAGUCUGACUCUGGAGAGUCACCUUGAGAUUAUUAAAAAAGAAACUACAAACUCAACUAAGCGGAGCUCCAGAGGCAGAAUAACAGUUCCUGACUGAUAAAGAAAAAAUCAAAAUUUCUGUUAGCAAAUGUUUACCUUCAUUUUCACACUUUUAAAAGUAUAAAAUUAUGUAGAAAAUAAGAUGCAAACUUUCAUAUUCCUUAUAAACAACUGUAACGUUUGUCAGAUUUUCCCCUUCCCCAGUCUAUUGAUCACAACAGAGAUAAGAAGUACUGUUUCUUUGCAGGACUUUCAAAGAGCUCUUUUUUGUAAGGUUUUAAAAUACUUGUGUACAGAUGUUUUUGUGUACUUAUGAAGGUCACAGGGCCACACUGGCUGAAGAUAAAUCACUGCUUUUUGUGGGGUUAGUUUUCUUAGGUUCAGUUGCCUGAACUGGCUCAGUACGGCAUCAGAUGAGUCCCAGUGCUGGCAUGAAGGAAAUGUCAGGAGUGUAUGGCUGGGCGUGCUGGAAGCAAGCCUGCCCUUUGACAGUAGUUGGCUGUGCUGUUUAGCUGUAAUGUCAGCCCACGCCCCGAGUUACUGACAUUGGUAAACAAAAACAUGAUAAUCUUGGGCGAAUUGCCAAGCUAACUGACUUUCUGUAAAUCAAGCUCAUUCAUUUAUAUCUGUCCUCCAGUACAGCUGGAGUAUCCUAAUCUCCAGAUUAAACAUCAGUUAUGUCACUUCUGUAUUUACAUUUUAAGAUGACGGUGAUCUUACAAAAGUCUUAUCAAAGACUCCUCCUCACCCACUAAGCCCAUUCUGGUCCAAUAUAUUAAAACACCACAAGGCUGUUUAUCUGAACAAUGAAAACAUUCUACUUUCUGUGUAUGCCGUCUUCCUGUGCCUUAUACCAAAUGGCACUUACAAACAAGUCUGAGGGUGGCCCACUGUCAUUCUACUAUCUUUUUAAAAACAAAAAAAUAUACCAUCAUCAUGCUUGUUAGAAUGGUAGAAGGAUACACUUUCUUACAAAUAGGUAAAAUAUAUGAAGAUAAUUAUGUAGAAUAUAAAAACUAUUCAUAUUUCUUAUAAACAAUAGUUGUCAGUAGGCUAAGAUUUUCCUCCAUCAUCCUAUUGAUCGCAACAAGGAUGUGAAGUAGUAUUCCUUUACAGGACUUUAAAAUAGCUUUUUUUUUGCAAGGUUUUGAAAUCUGCUUUUAUACAGAUGUUUGUAUUUAAUUGUUUCAAUUUUUUCAUCUUACAUUUGUGGUCAUUAACAAAGAAUACUGUAUGAAAAUAAAACACAUUUUGUUGACUGAGUCUGUUCUGAUUGGUUUCACUUUAGGAUUUAUUUAGGACAUGGGCAGGUACUCAGGUUUUGCACAGAUUAUGAAGUAAAUACAGGCCACUAUUUCUGAGUUUGAUAGUGAACAGACAUCCACUGAAGAAAAGAGAUGAGAAUAAGCCAAGAAUGAGAAAUCAAAAAUGCAUCUUCUACUAUAGUAGUAUGUUGAAAAGCUUGCAAGGUUAUGAUUUAUAUGCUGUUGUAAACUUGUUCAUUAAUAUUUCAUCUGACAAAGUACUUCUGCGACAUAAACGGCUAAACCAGUGUAUUUAAAACAAGCAUGCAUCCAGGCUGCUGUUGAAAUAGAGGCACCUACUUCUCAGGCCCAAGCACAGCCAGACCCAAUACAUGCUGUUAACUGAAGUGGCUGUGCAGUGAACUGGACGAAUGAACUGAUCUAGCUCCAAAACAAAUUUUUUUUUUUUUCUGUGAAUUUGUUUUCUGGCAUGCUGUGGGCAGCACAGGGAGUGGAUGGGACAGAGUUAGAUCAGACUGAACAGCACGAAGCCAAACCUAACUCGGCAAACUGGGAAAAAGAUGAUUUUUUCAGCAGGAUGGCUUCUCUGAUAUGAUUUAUAGCUCAGUAAAUCAGUGAUACUCUGCCGCAAUUUCAGUUGGAUGGAAAGUGCGUCUCUACUGUGCAGAGAGCUGAACCUCACCUAAAAAAGCAGUGCCAGAACUCCUUUGAUUUGGGAGCUGAAGCGAGUCUCCUGGAGCAGAGUGUUAAGGUGAGAGUGGCAGAGCACUAGAGGAGGUUGCUUGGAGAGGCUGUGGAAUCUCCAUCCUUGGAGAGACUGAAAACCUGACUGGACACAGCCCAGAGUGACCUGCUGGGAGCUGGCCCUGCUUUGAGCGAGGGCUGGCCUGAGGGGAAGAGGAGGGCCUGGAGCAGAUGGCCUUCAGAGACCCCUUCCAGCCUAAACUGUUCCAUGAUUCUGUUCAGGCAGCCGGUAAGAUUGCUCCUCACAAGCUCACGGACUCGGUAUUUGCAAAAAUACAGGAAUUUAUUAAAAGGUCUGCACCUUUUGGUUUAAAUAAUGAUUUUACUUUUUAAUUUGAUUGAAGCAAGUAGCUCUUAACGCUGAUAGGAGCAGCUAUGCUAAUUUGAAGACCAUUCACCUCCCUAAAGCCAAGAAAGGAUGACAAAGCUUGUAAGAUCACAGGGGCCUGGAUCUGUUAAGUCCUUUGGGGCCUCCUGGGACAUACAGUGCUACAGAAAUAUGAACAUGUGUGGAUUUUUUUUAUUUCUUUUGGAGAUACCAGGUAUAGUUGAAGUCACUUAGCAGUUUCUAAUUCCUUGGGUUUAGUUUUUGCAAGUUUACUAAACUAAACCAUAAAUAUUAAUCCAGUAAAUUUCUAGCACGUCAUCUUUGUGCAUCAACUUUUGGGGGUAACUUCAGCAAAGCCAAUUCAGUUAUUUCUAGGAGAUAUACUGGGGAUAUACAAUUAGGGUUUGGGAACAAAAAAGCCUUUCAGGAGGAAAAACGCUUGACGGUCAAAGGAUGAAAAUCUAUUCAAAUUAGUGUCAGUAAAUCCACGUGCCAUUUGUGCACAGAGCUUUUUAAAGGCUUCCUGUUACUACCUGAGUAUUUCACCUCACGUGGCAUAUUCCAGUCCCUUCAGCUUAAAUUUACCCACUUACUUCUCCUUGAGAUGCUGUCAGUUAGAACUGGGAGGUAGUUUUGCCUCACAGCUGAGAAAUCAGGACUAUCUGCCCUUGUCAUGUGCAGUAUCAGCAAGGGAGUUAAGUCACCAGAAGUGAGUGUUCAGUCAAAAACUGCUCACAUAGUCAAUAAAGGUGAGACAUGAUCUAAUGAGCUGCCAUCUGCUGCCUCUGAGAUGUGGUGAUGGCAAAAGAGUAUCUAGUUUCCAUGUUUCUGGGUGAAAAUACUGAUCUUUUUGCCACAGUCAGAUGCUACACACUCUUCUGUAAGACAGGAGCUCUUGUCCCUUCUCUGCUGGGCUGUUUUAUUGAUACUCAGCUUUAGUUUAGUCAUGUGCCAGAGUCUUUUCCACGAGGAUGGCCAGCCAGCUUUCUGCAGCUGCAGUUCUGCAUUGACCAGAGCAUCACUAUGCCACUUUUAACAUUAGGAGAGGUGGUAAUUAGGAGAGGUUGAUAAUCUCCAGCUUCCUCCCAUGGGAUAGCAUAAUUCCAUGAUUGAUAUUUUUCCUUUUUUUCUCCUCAAGCUUACUGUCUUAAAAAACGUAUGAAAUUGCACUGAAGAUACGCAUUUUACUAAUAAGGGUACAAAGAUUUACACUUGUAAGUGCCAAUACAAAUUUUACCUACACA